CGGUUUGGCCCACGGACCAGAGACCCCUCCACUUGACUCCACCCCGACACUCGUUUCGACUGGACUCGACUCUCGAUUCGACUCUCGACUCGACUUCCGACUCCGACUCCGGCACGAUUCGAUUCGAUUGGACCCUCGACCAGAGCCAACAUCAGAGUGUGCCACUUAUUCGGUCUUUGGCCAGCCAGCGCAUCGAACACGCGUUGCAUUUGGCAUUUCGCAUUUCGCAUUCAUUCGGUGUCUCCGUGCCUCACGUGCUUGCCACACGGUGCUUGCUCGGUGUCUCGGUGUCGCUGUCGUCGCGUUCCCGCGUUUGUUGCCCCUCCCCCCCCAUCCCCCCCCCCCGCGUGUGUUGGGGCACCACCACCGAUUGUUGCUCCGUUUUUUGUUAAGUGCCAAAACAAUCAAAAUACAAAUAUCGAAAAGUGCAAAGAAAGUGACUGCAACGACUGCAAGGACUGUGCAAAAGUGUGGCAUACUAUGAUGGGCCUGCCCCAAUAAGUGGCAUAAGCGUGCGCCAGAGUGCCAGAGUGCCAGAGUGCGAGAGUGUGGCAGUGUGGCAGUGGGAGUCUCUCCAUUAAAACUCUAUCGCAGGCGAAAAAUUCAAAAACUCAAACCACGCCCACACGCCGCACCGAAAAAAAAAAACGGCGCUAAGUAGCAGGUCUUUCGAGCGAGCGACAAGCCCUGGAAAAAACUCGGAAAAAACUGCAAAAAAAAACAACUUAAAG